UACGAGGGGUGCAAGCGUUGCUCGGAAUUAUUGGGCGUAAAGGGUAGGUAGGUGGUCUCGUUUGUCUGGGGUGAAAGCCUUGAGCUUAACCUGGGAAUGGCCAUGGAAACUGGCGAACUGGAGUGUGGCAGAGGGGGGUGGAAUUCCGCGUGUAGCAGUGAAAUGCGUAGAGAUGCGGAGGAACACCGAUGGCGAAGGCAGCCCCCUGGGCUAGCACUGACGCUCAGGCACGAAAGCGUGGGGAGCAAACAGG
rnacentral:rRNA from 1 species